UCUGGGGAAAAAAGGCUCCAUUUUGAGAAGCCUUUUCUGCCUUCUAGACUGAAGAAGAAACAAUUUAGAUGUGCUUGUGUGGCCAAGCCAGGCCAACUCUGUAAAGGCUGUCGCUCUGCUUGAGUGCUGAAAGAGAUCUCAUUCCUGAAACUCCAGAAUGAUUUUAAAUGAAGCCACACUGUUGGUGCCUUGGGUUUCAAAACAGCAUACAAUUUGUCGAGGAUAGUAAUCGCAAAACAGUGGAAAGGUGAGAAAGCCCCAACGAAAGAUGCCUGGCUGACCAAAUUGACUGAAAUAAAGGAUAUGGACAAACUUAUCUUCUUAAUGAGAAAGAGCAACGGAAGAGCUAUAAGAGCCACGGACUGGUCAAAUUUUGAAGACUACCUUAAGAAAAGAUGAUAAGAACUAUCUAAUUGGAACAUAAAUGAUUAGUAACAAAGAUCGGAAGUCAAACCCCACCCCCCAUUCCUAGGGUAUAUCCCCUCUCACAAUUCCUAAUCCAGACACACUUUCCCUCCCCCUGCCCUUCCUUCCCUGUUCCCCUGCCGUAUGUCGUGUUAUGUUUUAUGUUUGAUGUUUUAUGUUUUAAAAGAAACUUCUCAAUAAAAAUGAUACAACAAGAAAUAGUCCCCCCCCCCCCAAUUCACAGUAAAUUUUUUACAGACCAGUCUCAUCUUUAUUAAUUUUUUUACUUCACAUAUAUAGCUUUUUCAUGGUGACUUUGCAUUGACUUCAGUGAAGGAGACAUUGGGACCCUUUGCAACAAAUUCAAAAUACAUCUACACAUGGGUCACAUGGAAAGGCUUAUCUAAGGGUGUGGAAUUAAUGGUAUUUGACACUACUUUAACAGCCUUGGCUCAAUGCUAUGGAAUCCUGGGAAAUGCAAUUUAGUGAGGCAUUAGCACUCUCUGCCACAGAAGACUCAAGACCCUUAAAAAUACAACUUCCAUUAUUCCAUAUCAUUGAGCAAUGAAAGUUAAAGUGAAGUAAAAUGCAUUAAUUUUUCAGUUAGAUAGUUAGAUGCACCCUAUGAAUCUCUUUAAAGGAGCAACAUAUGUUUCCCUCUUCCAAUGAUAAAAUUAAAUACCACACACAUAUACAUAUGCAAGAGACAACCCCUUUUGAUCAUGAGGUCUAGUUGCCAAAGACAUAACUGUUGUGUAAAUAUUGCAAAAAUUACCUGCUCCAUAGCUAAAAUAGGAAGUGUCAGAUAUGACUAGGCCACAGGCAGUUCCUGUGUCUCAUAAAACCAUGCAAAUUGAGAGUCAGGCAGUGAUAGGUGGGGUGAAAAAUGUAAUAUUUGUUUCCUUUGAAAUGCCUGCUUCGUUUUCCAUUAUGAAGAUUGAUUGCAUCUUAUGUGUUGCAUUCCCCAACAUCUGCUGCUUCAGGCAAGGUGUAGCCAAACUGAAAUUCCACCAGUAUUUUUGAAUGAAGAGACAGAGUGAAAAUUAAUUUACUCUCUCUGUGCUGAGUACAGCCCUUCCCUUCAGUAAACUGACAGCAGAUAUUCCUCCCUUGCCUCAGGCAGCAGGGUCUAGACCUGAUGUUGUGCCAUAUCCUUUUUUUAAUAAAAAAAAAGUUUAUUCUGGGAGCAGCUAGCAAAGCCAAACUGAAAGACCACACUAGACAUAGGUGCAAACUGAAGUCAUAGGAAGAAUUCAUAUUUCACUCAAAAAUAAAUUCAAGAACUUACUGUGUGCAGGUGAUUGGAAUAGUCAUCGGAACACAAUGCAAUUGGGAUGAGAACUAAAUGAGAAAAUACAUUUUUAUUAAUAUCUUGGUAUUUUCUGCCCUUCCUGAAAGUAUGCCUCUGGCACUAAAUUCUUGCUUAGUAACUUUUGACCAGGCACUAAUAUAUUCCAAACCUUUGUCUUGAGUGACAAAUUUUGAUUCAAAAGGGGAAAUC